CCUANGGGGGGCUGCAGUAAGGAAUAUUGCUCAAUGGCCGAAAGGCUGAAGCAGCAACGCCGCGUGAAGGAUGAAUGGCCUUUGGCCUGUAAACUUCUGUAAAAGAGGAAAAAUAGUUAGGUAUAUCCUAAUGUGAUUGUACUCUUGAAGUAAGCCCCGGCUAACUACGUGCCAGCAGCCGCGGUAAUACGUAGGGGGCAAGCGUUGUCCGGAUUUACUGGGUGUAAAGGGUGCUCAGGCGGAUUUAUAAGUCAGUGGUGAAAUCCCGGAGCUUAACUCCGGAACUGCCAUUGAUACUGUAAGUCUCGAGUUUGGAAGAGGUUGAUGGAAUAUCUGGUGUAGCAGUGAAAUGCGUAGAUAUCAGAUAGAACACCAAUGGCGAAGGCAGUCAACUGGUCCAACACUGACGCUAAAGCACGAAAGUGUGGGUAGCAAACAGGAUUAGAUACCCGGNUANUC
rnacentral:rRNA from 1 species